rnacentral:lncRNA from 1 species
CAGUGCUCCCCGCGCUGUUGCGCGUCACACCCGGCUCUCAGACACUGGCUCCGGGACACCGGCUACGCAACCACCCCCCUCCCGGUGACUGCUGGCCCAGGAACCCACGUUCGGGCAGCCCACACACCACCCGGCGUCCAGGACAUCCUCACCGGAAGUUGAUUUCUACCUAGGCCCGCCCAGGCCUGCGCGCGGCGCUCCAGGCAUCCGCGGGCGCAUCACAUGACCCCCCAAGAGGAGGCCAGCUGAGCCUCAUCUGAAGAGAGACCUGACCUGUGAAGUGGAUUGACCUGAUAUACACUGGCCUGACCAUCCUCAAAAACUACAUCAUGUCUUUAUCUUUUGUCCUGAGCCAAAACAAACUAUUCAACAGAUAUUCCUCCUAACAGAGAUUCAGCUGGCUAGGCCACAAGAAGAACCUCCUAGUUGAGUGAUUCUCAGGUAAUUGACUCUGCUAUAGAUUGGCUUCGACUUAACGCUUUUCCUGACCUUUCUCAAGAUCUACCUCCUAGUAAAGGUUCUCAAUCUCUCUUAGUGACAGGCCCAUAAAACCACCUACCAAAUCUGAAUUUUUCUUCUGUCCAGAACUCGAAUCUACCACGAGAAGAGCCUUUGCCUCUUACAAACAACCAAAAUGUGAGAACUGAAUAAAGCACCCGGCACUAUGACAUGCUCAAGAAAUGUUUGACGUGAUGUCUGGACCUAUCGGCUUAGCGGAACUCUCAAGUUCCUGAACGUGCCCAAGCUGAAAGCUUCUCUAAACCACUGGAUUUUAAAGAUCUUCAGCGCUAGGACUGUAGCACUUGUAAUCAACUCUCUCAUAGCAGUUCGUUCAUAUUCCACUAAAAACAGUUGUUUUUUAGCUGUUCCACAUCCUUACAGCAAAGCUGUCAGUCAACAUCUUUUCCUGAAGGGAAUAUGCCAUACACUUGGUGGCACCUCACUUUGUCUCCACACACUAGUCAUCCAUCUAAAGACACUAGCAUGGAGUUACCAAGUUCUGCUUAUGACCAUGGUGGCCCAGAUGCUGCUGGAGUUAUCCGCAGAAAUGGCAAGGAUCACAACAAAAUAUAAUGCAGAUUGGAAAGUCAAAACAGAGGCGGAGAUUCUGCAUCCUUGUUGGACCACCAUAUCGGAGUCUUUCAAAGCUGCUGCACCCCUUCAGCAGACCUUGCUUGCAAUCAGUGCUCUGGGCAGAAUGCCAGAUAUCUGAUUCAGAAAGGAAACUGGCACUUAUCUGAGGAUCAUUGAGGACCAGAACAACACUGAUUACAGAAAACAGAGAAAUACCUUAUUGGAGUCUGGUUAUUGGGAUCCACCCUGAGAUGUGAGAGUCGAACAUGCUGUGUCUGUUUUGAAGAAAUCCAGUUGUUGAUUCAGCUAGAGAUACUUCCCAGUCAGGUGGUUAUGAAUCCACAGACACAUCUGGCCACAUGGUAACAUGAGCAGAUGUGUGGUCAGUCCAAGCCUAGAUUCCUGUGCUAUUAGAUUCCUAUCUGGUCUUUGGCCUUUUCUUUAAGGUCUGUGAGAGUCGAUCCAAUUUUGGCCCAGCAGAGAGGAAACUUUUACCAACCGAUGGCCGCCCGAUGACCUGAAUGGAAAGAAUUGGUGGCCCCGGGAGAGCACACAAUUGAGAGAAGUGAUCACAUCACCAGAUGUGACGUCACAGUUUGGCACCAGCUGCCAUCCUGGGCACAGAGAAUGCACAGUCCACUCAAGUCUGAGCUUCCUCUCUGGAUUCCCCUGGGGUUCAGUACAGAGCACUGUACAGUGGUGUAACCUCUAUACUGGACUGAUGGAAAAACUAAGCUUGAAAUCUGUCAUGGAAUUACAGCAAGAACAAAAAGUGAAAUACGUUAUCUGAACUGUAUAAAAAGGGAGGUAUGUGAAAGUACCAGGAAGACUCAGAAUCUGAAGUGGUGAGAAUAUUGAAGGAAAGGUUCAAAUCUGAGCUGAUCUUACAGUCAAGGCAGACACCAUCAGUGGGAUGGUAGAGCAUACCUCGGACACCUCUCAAAGAGCAUGGCAGGAGUGGGGUGACUCACCACUCCCUACCCCAAUCAGGCUUGGGCCUACUCAACUUCAUAAAGACAAAGGACAUGUCAAGAUAAAGCCAGUUAGGCUUGUGUUUCCUGGCCAGAGAACUGGCUUCUCAGAAAUCAGUUUGCUUAUAUGGUAUAUUACAUUGACUGGGUUUUGUAUGUUGGAUUAUUUCUGCAUCUCUGGGAUUAAUUCUACUUGGUGGAUGAUCUUUUUGAUAUGUUCUUA